UCCAGACUCCUACGGGAGGCAGCAGUGAGGAAUAUUGGUCAAUGGGCGAGAGCCUGAACCAGCCAAGUCGCGUGAAGGAUGACGGCCCUACGGGUUGUAAACUUCUUUUGUCAGGGAGCAAUUGGGUCCACGCGUGGGCUUAGCGAGAGUACCUGAAGAAAAAGCAUCGGCUAACUCCGUGCCAGCAGCCGCGGUAAUACGGAGGAUGCGAGCGUUAUCCGGAUUUAUUGGGUUUAAAGGGUGCGUAGGCGGAACAUUAAGUCAGCGGUAAAAUCGAGGGGCUCAACCCCUUUAAGCCGUUGAAACUGGUGAUCUUGAGUGGGCGAGAAGUAUGCGGAAUGCGUGGUGUAGCGGUGAAAUGCAUAGAUAUCACGCAGAACUCCGAUUGCGAAGGCAGCAUACCGGCGCGCAACUGACGCUCAUGCACGAAAGCGUGGGUAUCGAACAGGAUUAGAUACCCUAGUA
rnacentral:rRNA from 1 species